rnacentral:lncRNA from 1 species
CCCAUCUGGACUUGGGAAAGAGUAGAAUCAUGGGGAGUCCUCUGCCAGCAGCCUGGAUUUGGAUCCCAGCUCUGACACUCCUGGCUGUGCGGUCCUGGUCAGGUUUCUUACCCUCUCUGUGCCUGCUUCCUCAUCUCUGAAGUGGGCCAUAACACCUACUACAAGGGGUUAAUGUAAACUUUAAAUGUGAUGAUCCACGUAAAUCUCUCAACACCCUGCCUGUCGCAGCUCAGUGAACGAUACGUGGGGUCACCUUAUGAUUCUCGGGAGGGAAGGUGUUUGAGUCCCUCAAACCAGAGGCUUGGAGGGUGAAGGUUGAGUAGGGGAACAGGAGGGGGCCUCUGCAUGAGAAGAAGCAAGCCUGCAGCAGGGGUGCUCCAGGGUCCCCCUCAGUGAGUGCACUGUGGGCCCCCAGGGCAGAGCAGGGGUCCAGGAGUGGUCUCAUUUCACCCCCUUGAGGGGUAUAUGCAAUCUCUUGGGUAUAUGCAAUGGGCCCAUUGCUGCUGUGGCUGGAAGGGGUUGGGGGAGCAUGGGCCAGGCUCAGGUGCCCUGCCCCUCAGGGACAAAGGCUUAGAUGGGAACUAGCCUGGAGGCCAGGCUGGGGCUCUGGGCUCCUGGUCUGGCCUGUGUUCCCUUCUCAGAGGCAAAGGAUGGUCAAGCCAAAACCUUCCUCUUCCUGCCAGGACCCCCAUCUCAUCUGUCCCCUCCCGGGGCCACCCACUGAUCUCCCCUGACCCCACCCUGGCUUCCAGCCCCUGGGCUGACCAGCUGAUGCCUCCUCCGCACUCUGGCCCUACCCUGAGGACCUUUGGGAAAACAGAACCUACCCACCCUUCCAGCCAGCUAACCUCCCAGCCAGCCAGAAGUGGGUGGGGAUGAGAGUCAGCUCCUCCUCAUGCUCCUCAGUCCUUCAGUCCAUCUCAAAGUCCCCCAGGUGAACCGUGUCCUCUAGAAGUUGGCUGGGAGGAGGUGACAGGGACAGGACUUGGGUGGGUAGGGGCUGACAGGAAUGGGAGGAAGGACCUUUUCUCGGCCCAACAACAGCUCAACCUAUAUGGCACUUCCUCCCUGGGCCUUAACUCGACUCCUUCCUGCAACAAGUUUUGUCCAUGCCACCACGCCAUAGGCUCUGUGAACAGAUCCAGGGCAGAAGGAUGGCUGGGGAGUCCUUGUGUGUCUCAGGAGAUGAGGCUCACCCAGGGACAAGGGUGAUGAGCCUGGCUUCAGACAGACUGAGCUGCAGUUGGAGCACAGGGGCCCCACGCCAGGGCCAGAGCUGAGGGUCAGGGAAGAGGGGAGUGUGGAGACCGAGAGAUGAGGCAGAGGCAUAUGGAGGGCUCGGGGUCCUGACCAGGGCCCUGGCUGCCAACCACACUGAGGGAGAAGGGAUGACUCUAUUUGGGAGUGGGGAUGUG